GCUGUCGUAGCUCAGGGGACAGAGCGCCGGCUUCCGAGGCCGGGCGGCGGGAGUUCGAUUCUCUCCGGCAGCA
rnacentral:tRNA from 1 species